rnacentral:lncRNA from 1 species
AGGCGCCCGCCAUCACGCCCGGCUGCUUUUUUUGUUUUAGUAGAGAGGAGGUUUCACCGUGUUAGCCAGGAUGGUCUCAAUCUCCUGACCUCGUGAUCCGCCCGCCUCGGCCUCUCAAAGUGCUGGGAUUACACGCGUGAGCCACCGCGCCUGGCCUGAAGAAAUAGGAAGAAGAAAAGCUUUUUGAAUGAAUCACUUCUCAUCUUCUCCGAAGUUGGAAGCAUCAAGAAUCUAAAUAAGCAUUUAUGAUGGCUGGCAUGAAUAUGCGGAAGAUAGAAUGGGAGUCCUAGUUGACCUUCAUAUAAUUUUUAGAAGAUGGAGCACUUCAACUUCUUCCACUCAUGAAAAGAGAGGUGACAGGUGAAGACAGAACAAGAAAACAAACCAAGAAUUUCCCCUCACCAGCCACCAGCUCUGCCAGCAACUUGAUCUUAGACUUCCCAGCCUCCGUAACGCCUCUGCUUAUAAUCUGUCAUGGAUUGGAAAACUAGAAAAAACAGUUUACAGAGUAUAACAAACUUUGGAGGAGUUAAUCGACUCUAAGUAAAAGAGUAUCUAGCACGGCUGUGGAACAAAGGAGAGACUCACAAACUGUUGAAAGAAUAAAUGAAUGAAUGAAUUCUGUUCAUGAGCUUUAAUAAAACAGCUCUGAGUAGUAACAGUGGAUCAAAUUUAGGCUUCUUGAUGCAGGCAUGGUGUAGAUUACUACUUCUGUAUUGUCCCAGGAGCUCAGCACAUUCCUGCAGAGAUGAUAGGAGCUCAUCUGAUACUUGUCAGCUUUGAAUAAACUCCAGUCCCCAAGAGAGAGAAUGAGAAUCACCGGAAUACGAAACUUCCCUGUUGGACUUCCCAACAUUCUUGAAUGCACCAAGAUAGCCUCUUGCUGUGAGAUUAAUAAAUGAAUAAAUGCCUCCA